UACAGAGGGUGCGAGCGUUAAUCGGAAUUACUGGGCGCAAAGUGUGCGCAGGCGGCCGAGCAAGUCGAGUGUGAAAGCCCCGGGCUUAACUUGGGAAUUGCGCUCGAAACUACUUGGCUGGAGUGUGGCAGAGGAAGGUGGAAUUCCAGGUGUAGCGGUGAAAUGCGUAGAGAUCUGGAGGAACACCGAUGGCGAAGGCAGCCUUCUGGGCCAACACUGACGCUCAUGCACGAAAGCGUGGGGAGCGAACAGG
rnacentral:rRNA from 1 species